AUUUAUAAAAAGUAAAAUACAAAGAGUUGCCAUUUGGGCUACUGACUGGGCUUUCGGGCUUAAUCAGGCCUAGGGCCAGGCUUGGACUGGACCCGGUUUUGGAAAAUAUAUUUCAACCCAAAUUGGCUUUCAAGCUUAAGCUGGCUUUGAGGGUCCCGGGCCAACCGGUCCUUUUCUCGAUGGGCUAGACGGGUUCAAGCCCAAGCCCAUUUGUGAUUUGUGAACCUCUACUUAUAGUCUAGACUAUAAAAAACCAUUACAAAACAGCUAAUGUUGUCAUAUUUCCCUGUUCUUAUGACAGUUAAUGCAUCUGUUAAUAUUUUAUUAUGAACUAGGGAAGCAGGAGACACUCACCUCUUAAACAACCUACCGCUCAGCAAGUACUAAUCGAGAUGAUAUCGAAUGGACCCAUUAGUCUAUUAGUAAUAGGAGCACACACAAACAUCGCUAUUUUUCUUAUGACCAAUCCACAUUUAAAGAGAAAUAUUGAGCACAUUUAUAUCAUGGGUGGUGGUGUGAGGUCAAAGAACCCAACUGGUGGUAAUCAUGGUAAUUUAUAUACAUGCUUCAAAAGCAAUCCUUAUGCUGAGUUCAACCUUUUUGGUGACCCUUUUGCUGCAUACCAGGUAACUAACUAUAGACCCUCUUUAAAAUUAGUACUUAUUAGGUGGGCUCCAGGUCAAGAAAUGUAUGGAUAUUACAUUCUGUGUGUUAACUAGAGCUGGUAACCAUUAACUAUCAAGCACAAUAAUCAAACUACUGCCACAACCAUAACUUUUAACUUUCUAAUUACUUACAUUCAGUGAUCUAUUUUGUUGCUUAUCAUGACGCUGAAUGGGGGGUUCUUGCUCUUGAUGAUACGUUGUUGUUUGAAUUAUUGGUGCUGACUGGUGCUCAAGUUGGAUCAGAUUGGACUUCUGUUUUGAAGAAAAAGGGAGCAAGUUAAGUAAUGAACUAAAGGACAAUAAGGAUGCAAAUCAUUCCUUUACUGGUGAAAUUUUGGACUAUGUAAAGUAAAAUGUGAAAGUAAGAAGCAAUGUUAUUCACGAUAAUUUCUUAAGAACAAAAGAUAUGUCCAAUCAUACAACUCCCAAGAUUCUUGUGUUGUACAUAUACUUCCUUGGAAGGGUUGCUAAGCAGAGGUCAAGAGAAGCUAACCUACAAUUAGUAGAUUAUCUCAUGUCGCUUAUAUGGCAGUUUAAGUUUAAAGGUGGAUGGUUCAAUGAGACUGUAGGUUGUCCAUACUACAUGGAUCCCAAGUUCCUAAAAAGAAAUUAUGGCCUGGAAGUUGUUGUAUGGAAUGUUAGAGUAAUCCUACACAUAAUCCCUUGUGGUGUCUCGCCAUUUUAGGCAGGUUGAAAUGUUUUAUGAUUUUGAAGUGAACUUCAAAAGAGAAGUUGGUGAAAACAAAUAAAAGAAAGGAUAAAAUAGAGUUUUUAGAAGAUGGAUGUAGAUGAACAUUGAAGGAGAAGGAAAAGAAAGACAGAGAGAGAUGUUGUUUUAGACAUGAGAUUUACUUUUUGUUACAAGAUUUUAGUGUUUAGUUUUUUUGUGGGUCUGUAAAAGUUUUAGGAGAGAGAUAUUUCAACACUUUCUUUUCAAAGAAAACGGUUUAGGAGUCUUUACGCAUUAGAAAUACACUCUGGUGCCUUAUGUUUGUGGGUCUGUAAAAGUUUUGAACUUGGAUACUAUUCGUAUGUGCAUUUUUUCUUA